CCAGAGUACAUGGGAAGGAGAGGACCAGCAUGAAUUAAACCAGCUCAAACCACAGGAUGUAUUACAAAAGAGAAGCAUGACAGCAUGGGGAGCAAGCACUGGAAACUUUGUAUUUGGAAUGGUUAAAUCUGACUGGUCCUAGAGGUAUCUGGCUGCUAAGCAACCCCGUUUCAAGGAGGAAGUUGGGAAAGAGGAGCAUCAAUUAUAACCAAGGCCUAUAUUCAUCUGGAUCAGUUCAAUGUUUGCAAAAAUUGAAGUUACUGUACGUCAUUUUUUAAGAUUUCUGACUGUGGGAUUCACAGUUGAAAAUGCAGUGAAAGGUGAUGUGACUGUGGG
rnacentral:lncRNA from 1 species